AACGAACGCUGGUGGCGUGCUUAACACAUGCAAGUCGAACGAGAAAGUUUCCUUCGGGAAAUUAGUAAAGUGGCGCAAGGGUGAGUAACACGUGAAUAAUCUGCCCUCGAGAUCGGGAUAACAUGGUGAAAACUAUGCUAAUACCGGAUAAGACCACAUUUCAUAAGAAAUGUGUGAAAAGGAGUCUUAACCUUCACUUGAGGAUGAGUUCGCGCAACAUUAGCUUGUUGGUGAGAUAAAAGCUCACCAAGGCUACGAUGUUUAGCCGGCCUGAGAGGGUGAACGGCCACACUGGAACUGAGACACGGUCCAGACUCCUACGGGAGGCAGCAGUGGGGAAUAUUGCACAAUGGAGGAAACUCUGAUGCAGCAAAUGCCGCGUGAGUGAAG
rnacentral:rRNA from 1 species